rnacentral:rRNA from 1 species
GGGAGCGAACAGGAUUAGAUACCCUGGUAGUCCACGCCGUAAACGAUGAUUACUCGGUAUUGGCUUCGGUCAGUGCCCAAGCGAAAGUGAUAAGUAAUCCACCUGGGGAGUACGCCCGCAAGGGUGAAACUCAAAGGAAUUGACGGGGGCCCGCACAAGCGGUGGAGCAUGUGGUUUAAUUCGAUGAUACGCGAGGAACCUUACCAGGGUUUAAAUGCAGAACGACAGGGGUGGAAACACCCCCUUCUUCGGACGGACUGCAAGGUGCUGCAUGGUUGUCGUCAGCUCGUGCUGUGAAGUGUCGGGUUAAGUCCCAUAACGAGCGCAACCCCCAUUUCUAGUUGCCAGCGGUUCGGCCGGGGACUCUAGAGAAACUGCCAGCGUAAGCUGUGAGGAAGGUGGGGAUGACGUCAAAUCAUCACGGCCCUUACAUCCUGGGCCACACACGUGCUACAAUGGUGGGGACAACAGGUUGCCAACCCGCGAGGGUGAGCCAAUCCCAAAACCCCAUCUCAGUUCGGAUCGGAGUCUGCAACUCGACUCCGUGAAGUUGGAAUCGCUAGUAAUCGCGGAUCAGCCAUGCCGCGGUGAAUACGUUCCCGGGCCUUGUACACAC